AAUAAGUAUAGCCAUGAUUUUCAGCGCCCAACUUUAACCAUUCGUCUUAUUUAAUUUUUUUUUAAAAAAAAUUAAAAACAUAAGUCAUGUUUUAUCAUCUUAUAACAAUAAAAAUGCUAAUUAUAAAAAAAUUUCAAAUAAAACGGACGAUCAAAAUUGGGCGUGAAAACUUAUGGCUGUACUUAUU
rnacentral:pre_miRNA from 1 species